AGACGUCAGAGACAGUCAGAGACAGUCAGAGACGUCUGAGACGGUCAGAGACAGUCAGAGACGUCUGAGACGGUCAGAGACGGUCAGAGACAGUCAGAGACAGUCAGAGACAGUCAGAGACGUCUGAGACGUCUGGGACAGUCUGGGACAGGGUUCAUGUUUAUCUUUUAAAAACUGCUCAAUUUUUUUUCUUUAAUCUGCAGAUUUUUCUGAGAAUGUCGAGGUGAGAGAGAGCUAUGAUCACCACAGAGUGUGUGUGUGUGU